rnacentral:tRNA from 1 species
GGCGGGAUGGUCUAACCGGUUAAGGCAUCGCCCUGGACAGGCGAAGGUUGCGAGUUCAAUCCCCCUCCUGGCC